rnacentral:rRNA from 1 species
AACGAACGCUGGCGGCGUGCUUAACACAUGCAAGUCGAACGAGAAGUACGUAGCAAUACGUAUUGUAAAGUGGCGCACGGGUGAGUAACACGUGGGUAAUCUGCCCUUGAGUUUGGGAUAACCCCGCGAAAGCGGGGCUAAUACCGAAUAAGACCACGAAGACCAAAGUCUUUGGGGUAAAAGGUGGCCUCUAUUUAUAAGCUAUCACUUAAGGAUGAGCCCGCGGCCCAUUAGCUAGUUGGCAGGGUAACGGCCUACCAAGGCUAUGAUGGGUAGCUGGUCUGAGAGGACGAUCAGCCACACUGGAACUGAGACACGGUCCAGACUCCUACGGGAGGCAGCAGUGGGGAAUAUUGCGCAAUGGGCGAAAGCCUGACGCAGCAACGCCGCGUGGGGGAUGAAGGUUCUCGGAUUGUAAACCCCUUUCGAUCGGAACGAAUCCCCUCCUGGUAAAUAAUCAGGAGGAUCGACGGUACCGAGAGAAGAAGCCACGGCUAACUCUGUGCCAGCAG